UACAUUCGGAAUGAUUAGCAGUAAAUUAAAGACCGCUUCCCUGUGUUGAGGAAGAGAAGGGUUAUUGGACAUUUGCACUAUGGUCACUGUUCUGUUUCCUCAUGUCUUCCCUCCCCCCAUCCCCUUCUUGACUGUUGGGCUUUGAGGGUUGGCUAAAGUCUUAACCUCUCCCAGACUCCCCUGAGAAUCUACAGGUAAAACAUCCGGUGAUGUUACAGAGAUGUCUUUUCCCCUACUUAAAGCACAGAUGAGAAAAUUUAGCCCAGAGAUGUUAAAGAUUAUGACAAAGACCUCCUGGCAAGAAGAACUGAUGUUUUGGGUCAAAUCUGGCACUAUGAGACUUCAAAAAAACUAAUUAAUUAAACUGGCUGAGCUGGGUUUUAGUUGCUAUAGUUUCUUGAGUUGCAGCAAGUGGGAUCUAGUUCCCUGACCAGGGAUCAAACCUGGUCCCUCUUCAUGGGAGUGAGGACUCUUAGCCGCUGGACCACCAGGGAAGCGUCAAGCCUAUGCUUUUAGUCCCUAUACCACACUGAACAUUGAUUUGGGCAAAUUUAUUGUAAAAAGCUGUGACUUUAACAAGAGAAAAACAAGAACAGACAGAGACUCAAGGAUCCCUUAUUUUACAAAUUUAGAUGUUGUAUACUGGGUUUCCUUAAAUCACAAGACACCAGAUACACAAAUCAAAUUCACAAACAAUAAAGCCAUGGGGGAAAUGUAUCAUUGUCCUUUGCCUCUAGCGGAAGCUACAUCUUCUCAGCAACUUAAGUGAGCUUGCUUUUCACAAGUGAAAUGUUUCCCUUUGUAUGCAGACUAAUGGAGCAUUGCAGAAUACAUGCUUUCAGCUACAAAAAUCUGUAAAUCAACACACACACUCCACCACGUUGUGGCCAUGAGAACACACACCCUCAAAAGCCAGGAGACAGCUUCUGUCAAAGGAAGAGCUGAAUACUGAUCAGCCCAUAAAAACAGAACUGAGACUGAAGAAACAUCUUAUACCUGAUAAAUCCACUGCUAUCAUAACAUCAACAGCUUGGAGUCAACAAAAACUAUAUUGGUUAAAUUAAGUCUUCUACAUAAAGAUGUCAAAUGUUACAACCUCACUAUUACAGUGAAGAAUAGCUCCAAAAUGUGUCUAAACUGAUGAUUUAGAUGAUUCUAUCCUUAGAUAGGACUUUAUAGAAUCGACAGUCCUAAAACCAUAUAUCUCUACUCUAGCAUCAAAUUUCUAUUGGUUUGGGCUAUAUCUUCCUUGCCAUGUCGUCCCAAUGCUAGCCAUUUGGACCAUUUUCACAUCUUGCUUCUAACAUAAAGAACACAAAUGUCUGCAGUGACUAUCCCUAGAUUUCUUCCUUAAUCAUACAGUGCUAAGAAGUCUGGACACAGUUGAAAGUUGAA